GAUGAACGCUGGCGGCGUGCCUAAUACAUGCAAGUCGAGCGAACAGACGAGGAGCUUGCUCCUCUGACGUUAGCGGCGGACGGGUGAGUAACACGUGGAUAACCUACCUAUAAGACUGGGAUAACUUCGGGAAACCGGAUCUAAUAUCGGAUAAUAUAUUGAACCGCAUGGUUCAAUAGAGAACGACGGAUUUGCUGUCACUUAUAGAUGGAUCCGCGCCGGAUUAGCUAGUUGGUAGGGUAACGGCUUACCAAGGCGACGAUGCGUAGCCGACCUGAGAGGGUGAUCGGCCACACUGGAACUGAGACACGGUCCAGACUCCUACGGGAGGCAGCAGUAGGGAAUCUUCCGCAAUGGGCGAAAGCCUGACGGAGCAACGCCGCGUGAGUGAUGAAGGUCUUCGGAUCGUAAAACUCUGUUAUUAGGGAAGAACAAAUGUGUAAGUAACUAUGCACGUCUUGACGGUACCUAAACAGAAAGCCACGGCUAACUACGUG
rnacentral:rRNA from 1 species